UAAAGCACACCUUAUAUUUUCAAAAACCAAUAAUGGAAUUCAUUUGGUCAACUAAAAUAGAAACUCAUGUAAUAGUGAAGAAGAUUGCAAUCUAUGGGAUUUGGAAGUGUGAUGGUGAAUUGUUUAAUGCGCAAAAUUUGCUUAGAAAACUUGUAGGGUAUCAAUGUUAGGUUUGGAUGUAUGCCUUCUCAAAAAAAUCAUUUUCUAUAUGUCAAUUUCUCAACUAAUAUACCUUUCCCAGAGUGCCUAAUCCUCAAAUGAAGAAAAAGAUAAGAAAAUGAAGACUAUUAUUGGUAUGUAAAUGCAUAUGCUAAUUUGAAGAAAUGAGGAGUGGCGUCGCUCCUGCCAAAAGAGAGUUAAACAAAACUCCUUGUUAAUGUUUCCUCGCUAAGCAAUGAGUUUUGAAGAAGAAAAGAAGUCGGAGUAUUUACAGGUGUGCGAGAGACAAUAUCAAUGCCAUGUUUGGCAUGAUACAAGGCUUGAAUAGCACUGAUAAAAGCCGAUCGUGCAUCACCUUCCUGAUAUACACUGGAAGAGGAACAUAGAAUGGAUAACGAGCAAAGCAUACACAAGAAUGAACAAGUGGUGGGAGUACCAAAAGGUAUUAUACCCAGUGACACGCUGGACUGAACUAGGGAGUGAAGGUGAACGGCGGCGUGGC